GAUGAACGCUAGCGGGAGGCCUAACACAUGCAAGCCGAGCGGUAGAGUUUCUUCGGAAACUUGAGAGCGGCGCACGGGUGCGGAACACGUGUGCAACCUGCCUUUAUCUGGGGGAUAGCCUUUCGAAAGGAGGAUUAAUACCCCAUAAUAUACUGAAUGGCAUCAUUCGGUAUUGAAAACUCCGGUGGAUAGAGAUGGGCACGCGCAAGAUUAGAUAGUUGGUGAGGUAACGGCUCACCAAGUCUGCGAUCUUUAGGGGGCCUGAGAGGGUGAUCCCCCACACUGAUACUGAGACACGGACCAGACUCCUACGGGAGGCAGCAGUGAGGAAUAUUGGACAAUGGGUGAGAGCCUGAUCCAGCCAUCCCGCGUGAAGGACGACGGCCCUAUGGGUUGUAAACUUCUUUUGUAUAGGGAUAAACCUACUCUCGUGAGAGUAGCUGAAGGUACUAUACGAAUAAGCACCGGCUAACUCCGUGCCAGCAGCCGCCGUAA
rnacentral:rRNA from 1 species